CAUGGAGCCCUAUGAAGUGGAGAUUAUUUCUUCUGCUCCUAUUCUCAAAGUCCUAUGCCUUCAGUUGAAGUUGUGUGAUGAGAUCAGAUUGUUGUUAAAGUUGUGUUUGUAGUUUUGUUGUGAAGUGGAGUCUGGAAGAGCUGGAGGUCACUUUGCUGACAAGAUUUCUAAUGGUAUGUUGCAUUGAUAUUUGGGAGAUCUGAUGUUAAUAAAGUGUAAGAUGUGG